rnacentral:misc_RNA from 1 species
UUUCCGUAGGUGAACCUGCGGAAGGAUCAUUAAUGGGAAAUCAAAUCAAAACAAAUGUUCUGUUGCACUGGGUGUGCUGUGUGGUGGUGGUGAGAGACACGGAGAUUCAAUCAUUGGAAUUCAAUCAUUGGAAUUCAAUCAUUGGAGAUUCAAUCAUUGGAGAUUCAAUCAUUGGAGAUUCAAUCAUUGGAGAUUCAAUCAUUGGAGAUUCAAUCAUUGGAGAUUCAAUCAUUGGAGAUUCAAUCAUUGGAGAUUCGAUCAUUGGAGAUUCAAUCAUUCAAUCUCAAUCAUUCAAUCUCAAUCAUCGCCACACAACACAACUAUCUAUCACACUCGAUCAACAACAACACACUCACACGCAACAGCAAACAACUUUUAACAAUGGAUCUCUUGGCUCUU